AGAAAAGUGAGUGGGCAAGGAAAAUCUUACCUGGACUUUCACUUGGGAAGACCACGUUCCCAGGUUAUGAUGAAAAAAAAUAAAUAAUGAAGUAGUAGUAGUAAUAAUAAUGAUGAUGACUGUGAUGAUAAUGAGUGCUCUUGCAAUAUCUCUAUUGCAUCUUUAAGUAAUUAGUUAACCAACAUUAAGUGUGUUUUCACAUUGCAGUGGACCUUUAGAUUGAUAACAGGCUCUUAUAUAGCUUUUUCUGGCUUUGGUCAUUUACAAAAUAAGGUGUUCUACACUGUGCAGUCUUAAUCAGAACUGUAAUUAAUUGAUGUGAUAGGCUAGUGGAUUAGGCCAAGACCAGAGCAUUGCAAGAAAAAAUGAACUUGAGGAAAACAUGUUUCUGCUACCAGGAUAACAAGACUCUCUUGCAUUUCAGAAAUGUGAAAAUGUGGGAAAGGAAAAAUCUGUAGUAUAUAAAAAAAAAAAAAGGAAAUGUUUUCAAGUGGAUAUUUUUUAAUGUGGUUAAACAACAUUAACUACAAUAUUAUAGCUACGGUGAGCAAAAGCAGCCAUCUUGAAGGUUCUCAGAAUUCUUUCUUUGGAAUUUUUGAUGUCAUAUGCCUGUACCGCUUACUUGUGUGUCAGUUUGGUUUGCCAUAACUUAAACUUUGAAAGCUGUUAAGACUGUUAGGCAAGAUUUUAGCCUGUAUUAGUGGUCUCUAUUGCAGGUGGAUUUCGUGAUAGGACAGAUUCCAUGAAUGUGGAUUUGUGACUAAAUCCAGUAGUAAUAGUGUAUUUUGAAAUCAUAAUUAAAAGUAAAACCACCACUCAACGUCAGCUAAAUUCUUAUGGGCUUUUUUUGGGCAUUUUUCAGGAACUUCAUGGGACUUUUGGUAACAAGAAGCUGUUAGUAUAUCUGCACAAGAACUACAGAAAUAAAUGUAGACAGAUAGAGUACGUUGAUAUUACAAGAAAUUCAGGCCGAGGGGUCAAAAGACUGUUCCCUUAUCAGAAGGAUAACUCUUAAAUUACAAAACCAAAGCGGCAAAAGAAAGGAGACCUGAUUAGCAAGAAAAAACUGCCAGAAACAGAAACUGGAGAAGGGACGUUCUUCCCUGCAAAGGGAAUAAAGCAUUCAUGGAUGCUGCUCUGAGAUAGCUCUUCUGGUCUGAUUGAUUCAACCGGUGUACGAAGAAUACAGGAACAGUCC